rnacentral:rRNA from 1 species
GACAGAGGUGCCAAGCGUUAGGCGGAAUCACUGGGCUUAAAGCGUGUGUAGGCGGAUUUGUAAGUACCUUGUGAAAUCCCACAGCUCAACUGUGGAACUGCUGGGUAUACUGCUUAUCUUGAGCCACUUAGGGGCUGUCGGAACAAAUGGUGGAGCGGUGAAAUGCGUAGAUAUCAUUUGGAACGCCAACGGUGAAAACAGACAGCUGGGAGUGUGCUGACGCUGAGACACAAAAGCCAGGGGAGCGAACGGG